GAUGAACGCUGGCGGCGUGCCUAAUACAUGCAAGUCGAGCGAACAGACGAGGCGCUUGCUCCUCUGUCGUUAGCGGCGGACGUGUGAGUAACGCGUGUAUAACCUACUUAUAUGACUGAUAUCUUUUCGGGACACCGGAUCUAAUACCGUAUAAGAUAUUGAACCGCGUUGUUCAAUAGUGAAAUACGGUUUUGCUGGCUCUUCUAGCUGGAUCCGCGCCGCAUUAGAUGGUUGGUAAGUUAACGGCUUACGAAGGCAACGAUGCGUAACCGACCGCCGAGGGUGAUCGGCCACACUGGAACUGAGACACGGACAAGACUCCUACGGGAGGCACCAGUCGGGAAUCGUACGCAACAGGCGAAAACAUGACGGAGCAAGGCCGCGCCAGUGAUGAAGGCCUUCCGAGCGGAAAACCCUGUUAUUAGGGAAGAACAAAUGUGUCCGUAGACAUGCCGGUAUUGACGGUACCGAAUAAGAAAGCCACGACUAACUACGUG
rnacentral:rRNA from 1 species